GACGGAGGAUGCAAGCGUUAUCCGGAAUUAUUGGGCGUAAAGCGUCCGCAGGUGGACAUACAAGUCUGCUGUCAAAGUGCAGAGCUUAACUCUGUAAAGGCGGUGGAAACUGUAGGUCUUGAGUAUGGUAGGGGUAGAGGGAAUUCCCGGUGUAGCGGUGAAAUGCGUAGAUAUCGGAAGGAACACCAGUGGCGAAAGCGGCUUCCUGGUCCAGCACCGACGUUCAGGCACGAAAGCGUGGGGAGCAAACAGG
rnacentral:rRNA from 1 species